AUACUUACCUGGCAGGGGAGAUACCAUGAUCAAGAAGGUGGUUCACCCAGGGCGAGGCUCAGCCAUUGCACCCCGGCUGUGCUGACCUUUGCGAAUUCCCCAAAUGUGGGAAU
rnacentral:snRNA from 1 species